AGUGAACGCUGGCGGUAGGCCUAACACAUGCAAGUCGAACGGCAGCAUAGUAAGAGCUUGCUCUUACGGGUGGCGAGUGGCGGACGGGUGAGGAAUACAUCGGAAUCUACUUUUUCGUGGGGGAUAACGUAGGGAAACUUACGCUAAUACCGCAUACGACCUACGGGUGAAAGCAGGGGAUCUUCGGACCUUGCGCGAUUGAAUGAGCCGAUGUCGGAUUAGCUAGUUGGCGGGGUAAAGGCCCACCAAGGCGACGAUCCGUAGCUGGUCUGAGAGGAUGAUCAGCCACACUGGAACUGAGACACGGUCCAGACUCCUACGGGAGGCAGCAGUAGGGAAUAUUGGGCAAUGGGCGCAAGCCUGAUCCAGCCAUACCGCGUGGGUGAAGAAGGCCUUCGGGUUGUAAAGCCCUUUUGUUGGGAAAGAAAAGCAGCAGGUUAAUACCCCGCUGUUCUGACGGUACCCAAAGAAUAAGCACCGGCUAACUUCGUG
rnacentral:rRNA from 1 species